UUCCCGUAGACCCUGACUGUUUCGGUGAGUGGAAUUUUCCACCACACAUGUCCCUCCGUCUUCUCAUCCUUGACUUGGCAGCUCAUUGGCCUGUCAUCCUUCACUCUGAAGAAGUUAUUUGCAGUGUCUGAAAUGCUUCUAAAAAGAACAGCCCAUCAUCAGUGAAUACCUAGCAGAGGCCCAAUAGAUGCUUGAAGUGAAGGAGAAGACCGUUGCAAGCCUACUCAGAGCUUGACUGUCCAGAUGCCACUAUUCCCAAAAAAGCUUUACACUCUCCAAGUUCUCCUGCAGCUGACCUGACCUUGCUUCCCAGCUGGCUCAGGUUGUUGUGGCUCCAUUAAGAUUAUCUGAAGACUAUGCAGCAAUAUGAAGGAUGCUGCUACUCUGUGACUUCAGGGGAAAAUCUAGAAUACUAUACAUUAAAACUACACAAUUUUGGGAAUGAUAGGAAAAUAUAAAGAUUCUUGGCCUAUCGUGGAGCAAUUGUCCUUAAAGACGGGAGACAAAAAGUGGAGUUGAAAGCUUCUACACCAGAAAACAUUAAGAAAUUCAGUUUCUAUUCCUUGGAAGUGGUCUCUCCCUCAAAAUCUCAGUAAUGCUGCAAAGGAAACAAUGGUUUUUAAAAUAGAACAGAGAAACUAAAUAACAUCAAUUUGCAAACCAACUUAGAAUCAGAACAACCACCGACACUAUUCUGCUUCAAAGGUUCUCUAUCACUUUUGCUGCAAAUGCUCAGUGACACUUUUGGACACCUCUGCCUCACCCUAAAGAGGUCAGUAGGUAAGUGUCAUCCCAUUUUCUGUUUGUACAGAAUGAAUCCUGAAGGAAAGGAGGGGGAUAAUAAAACAAUACUGUUAUACCAAA